rnacentral:lncRNA from 1 species
ACCGAGCAGGGCAGCGCCACCGCCCAGGUCGCCGCCGUGGUCGUCCUCGGCAUGGCGCCUGAGAACAAGGCCGGGCAGUUCGAGGGGGCCGCCGGCCAGUCCGGCGAGGGCUGCAGCUGCGGCGACAACUGCAAGUGCAACCCCUGCAACUGUUAAAGCUGCUACGUAAGUGUGAUGGUGUGAGAGUAUACGUGAAUAACGAGCGUCUGAUGAUCUGAUGGAGUCGGGCAAGGGUGCGUGUGCGUGCGCGUGUGCGUGUGGUGUGGUUUACUUGCUCGCUCUCCGCCUAUGCUCUGCCCUCGGUGUCGUGUGUAUGUAUGUGCUUGUGUCUCGGUAAUUGCUCCAUUGUCUCCACUACGAUGGAGUCAUGAAUAUAUAAGAUUGAAAGGUUUACCUAAUUAUUAACUACUAAAUCGCUACUUCAGUUAACUGAUUUUUUCGGCCACCCAUCUUCAGUUAUUCUCUAACAUGAAAUAUACAGCCAAGGAAUAAUUUGCCUCAAGAAUUUGUUGAUUCCUUGUGUAGAAUGAAGAUUUCGAUCGACAAUUGCAAUCGCUAAAACUUCCAACGAUUCUUAAGGGGAAAAUGACAGAAAAAAAGGUUGUACGCAAAGUGAGAACUAUGUUCCUGUGUUGUUUCUGGACAGCCCUCUGUGCCGGUCGACCGACACUAACCCUAGAUAGGUACGCGUCCAAUCAUUGGAUAGAGAUGUAUGUAACUGUUGGAUCUAUUUCCUAUGUCGUUCCCUUCGUCUCAUGCAAAAAAAAAAAAA